CUAACACAUGCAAGUCGAGCGAUCUUCUUCGGAAGAGAGCGGCGGACGGGUGAGUAACGCGUGGGUAACCUGCCCUGUACACACGGAUAACAUACCGAAAGGUAUGCUAAUACGGGAUAACAUAAGAAAGUCGCAUGGAUUUCUUAUCAAAGCUUUUGCGGUACAGGAUGGACCCGCGUCUGAUUAGCUAGUUGGUAAGGUAACGGCUUACCAAGGCGACGAUCAGUAGCCGACCUGAGAGGGUGAUCGGCCACAUUGGAACUGAGACACGGUCCAAACUCCUACGGGAGGCAGCAGUGGGGAAUAUUGCACAAUGGGCGAAAGCCUGAUGCAGCAACGCCGCGUGAGCGAUGAAGGCCUUCGGGUCGUAAAGCUCUGUCCUCAAGGAAGAUAAUGACGGUACUUGAGGAGGAAGCCCCGGCUAACUACGUGCCAGCAGCCGCGGUAAUACGUAGGGGGCUAGCGUUAUCCGGAAUUACUGGGCGUAAAGGGUGCGUAGGCGGUCUUUCAAGUCAGAAGUGAAAGGCUACGGCUCAACCGUAGUAAGCUUUUGAAACUGUAAGACUUGAGUGCAGGAGAGGAGAGUGGAAUUCCUAGUGUAGCGGUGAAAUGCGUAGAUAUUAGGAGGAACACCAGUUGCGAAGGCGGCUCUCUGGACUGUAACUGACGCUGAGGCACGAAAGCGUGGGGAGCAAACAGG
rnacentral:rRNA from 1 species